GUUUGAUCCUGGCUCAGAACGAACGCUGGCGGCGUGCCUAACACAUGCAAGUCGAGCGCGAAAGUCACUUCGGUGAUGAGUAGAGCGGCGCACGGGUGAGUAACACGUGAAUAACCUACCUAUAAGCCUGGGAUAACCAUUGGAAACGAUGGCUAAUACCGGAUAAGCUCACACUUUCCUUGGAUCGAGUGAGAAAAGGCGGCCUCUUCUUGAAAGCUGUCACUUAUAGAUGGGUUCGCGUCCCAUUAGUUUGUUGGUGAGGUAAUGGCUCACCAAGACUUCGAUGGGUAGCUGGUCUUAGAGGAUGAUCAGUCACAUGGACACUGAGACACGGGUCCAACUCCUACGGGAGGCAGCAGUGGGGAAUAUUGCGCAAUGGAGGAAACUCUGACGCAGCAACGCCGCGUGGGUGAUGAAGGGUUUCGGCUCGUAAAGCCCUGUCCUGAAGGAAGACAAAGCACGGUUAAUAUCCGUGUGUAUAGGACGGUACUUCAGAAGAAAGCACCGGCUAACUCCGUGCCAGCAGCCGCGGUAAUACGGAGGGUGCGAGCGUUGUUCGGAAUUAUUGGGCGUAAAGCGGGUGCAGGCGGCCGCGUGUGUCUGAUGUGAAAGCCCUGGGCUUAACCCAGGAAGUGCAUUGGAAACUGCGUGGCUUGAAUCUCGGAGAGGGUGGUGGAAUUCCUGGUGUAGAGGUGAAAUUCGUAGAUAUCAGGAGGAACACCGGUGGCGAAGGCGACCACCUGGACGAUGAUUGACGCUCAGACCCGAAAGUGUGGGGAGCAAACAGGAUUAGAUACCCUGGUAGUCCACACCGUAAACGAUGGAUACUAGUUGCAGCGGGAGCUGACACCUGCUGUGACGUAGCUAACGCGUUAAGUAUCCCGCCUGGGGAGUACGUCGGCAACGAUGAAACUCAAAGGAAUUGACGGGGGCCCGCACAAGCGGUGGAACAUGUGGUUUAAUUCGAUGAUACGCGAGGAACCUUACCAGGGCUUAAAUGUAGAUUGACAGGUCUGAGAAAUCAGACUUUUCUUCGGACAAUUUACAAGGUGCUGCAUGGUUGUCGUCA
rnacentral:rRNA from 1 species